UGGACAGAUCUUUGUGCUCUUUUGGUUGUGACCUAGUUUCUCCAGACAAGGCUACUCUCAAAUUGCCAUCUAGUUGUCCAAUUUGCACUAAGCCUGGCCACUGGCUGAAUCAAUGAGCCUGGAAGAAACAGGUCCCCAUUGGCGUAACUCAGGUUGGCAAGGGCUAUGUAGUAGAUGGGCAGUGUGUUAUUCCACUUAAGUGUGCUUAAUGUCAUUAGAGUGGUACUCACAGGGUUCCUGUCUGCGCGGAUUGGAACAAACUACUCAAAGGAAACUGGACGGGAUGUGCCCUUGCACCCCUGUUGGUUCGAUACAUCACCUGAUGAUUGAUGAAGCUGAGGACGACUGGGUGCAUGUAUGCAGCAGCUGUUAAAUUAUCGUUUCAUUUUAGUGCUCUAUGUUAUAUAUAUAUAUAUGUUAUUGUGGACCCACGUAUGUCUUGGAAUAAUUAAGCUAGAUAGCUCUGUUGUCGUUGCGGAUAUAUAUACUUUGUUGUUGGGUGUUUUCUGUGUUUAAUUUGGCUGUCCUUUGCAUGCACUCGCCUUGGAAUAUCACAUCUGUGCAGUGCCUAUUAAUUUGGAUCAACGCUUUGAUUUGAUUGACUUGUACUGAUGUUGUUUGCUUCAAGGGUGUGCGUGUGUUUUUUUAAUCGACAGAUGUCGUGAAUGGUUUACAUGCACCUUCCCUCGAGCAGGCAAGCUUCUGCAUUCUCACGUCAGUGUAUGACGUGAAAAUAACAAAAAUUAUUAUGGACCUUCCAUCUUUGCGAUAAUCCUGGCAUGAUUUGGUCUAAAAAACUGUGUUCUUGUUCAUGCUCACUAAUACUUGGAUGCUGGAGAGCAGCAGUAAAUUCAAAGCAUAUUCUAUAUUUUAUGGUAGAAAGCUAUGAAGUACGGAUAUGGAUAUGGAUAUGGCGAUACGAUAUAACAUGACACAUCGAUACGAAAAAUUUCUAAAAAGUAGGAUACGAUUCACGAUAGAUACAUGCCCUCGAGCAGUUGUAGUGAAUGAUUUACAUACACCUUGCCCUCGAGCAGGCAAGCUUCUGCAUUUCCGAGUCGUUGUUGGACUUUUGAGUUGUGGAUAUUUCGGUUGUGGUUGGUGUUCAUAUGGUCCUUCUCUAUCUUUUGUGUCGAUUGUUAGUUUUGAGUCCGUUUCCAAAACCCAAAAUGGUGGUUAAUUGUGCCAAAUUGAAUAUUAAAGUGCCGGCGGGAAAUUUUUAAUGAAGUUUGAGAACAUACCAUUUCUUCAUUUUCAACAAAAGAAAAUUCAAAGAACUUAGCGAAGAAGGCUUUGGUGUAUUUAACACAAUACGUUGAAAUGAAGGAAAGCUUAUUUAUUGAUAUCCCCGAUAAGCUACAAAUAUGUACAUAUACAUGAGUCAAAAUAAACACACAAGAGGGAGCCUUCACAAAGGUUGCUUAGGAGAAGUCUCAGCAGUCGGUAGAGCCCCAGAAAGAGAAGGCACCGGAGGGGGAUCAUUUGGAGCCUCAGUACUGGACAGAACCCUAGAAGGAGGAGGCAUCAGAGGUUGAUCAUUCGGAGCUUCAUUACGCGGUACAGCCCCAGAAGACGAAGGCAAUAAAUGCCUUUGGAACAAACCCACAAAUCUCUGAUGAUCAAGUAAAAUCUGACCAUCAGUUUCCUUCAUCUGGUCAAGCUUCCUCUUCAUGUUUGUAGCAUAGUCAUGUGCGAGCCGGUGCAACUGUUUAUUCUCAUGCUUGAGCCCUCUAAUCUCCUGUUUGAGACUCAUCACUUCAGCCGCCAAUGAUUCAACUUGGCGGGUUCGAGCAAAUAGGCGUUGGGCCAUAUUAGACACAGAACCUGCACACUGAACACUGAGAGCCAGCGAAUCUUUAACAGCUAACUCAUCAGACCGUUUGGAAAGUAGUCUGUUAUCUUUGGGAGUGAGAAGGUUCCUGGCCACCACCGCAGCGGUCAUAUCAUUCUUCAUCACGGAAUCCCCAACGGUAAGAGGACUUGUAGGGGAGACGAAGGAUGGGCGCCAUAUGUUGUCUGGAGAAGGCGGGGCUGCCUCUUCAACAAGGUUCAAGUCAAAACGACGGUCGGAAGGGCCAGACAUUUUCAAAGGUGUUGAAGAGAGAAGAGGUCGGACAAAUCAAGAUCUUAGAAGUGCAAGAAUGAAGCUUCUACUGGUGGAGAUUCAAGUGUGCUUUGGAACUUAAUGCCAGCCCCUAUAAAAAUCUGCACUCGACGGAGCUUCAGAAAUCGAAGAGGCGCCUGCUCAGAAAUCGAAGAGGCGCUCGCUUUCUCAAAAGCUGGGCUCCCCAGAGACCACGAGGGCCGAUCUCAGAAAUCGAAGAGGCACCUACUUUUCCAGCCUUGUCAGCACCUGUCACACGCACACUCAGCUUUGCGGAAAUUAUGGGCAUUCUGUCGAAGACUUCUGGGGAAGUAGAACACACAUGAAUCUUACUGUUCAAUCACCCACUUCCCACACGCAACAAUAGCUCAUGGGUACCACAGAUAACUUUGCCAAAGUUCUCUGCCAAAGUUGAGCAUGUGAAGCUUGCAGCUCCCACUACAUCGCUCUGACCAAGAAGGGUAAAAGAAUAGCAAAGAAACAGCACUAACAAAGUUUAGACCCAUAAAUUUUGAAGGUCUAGCUACCAUAUUAUUACCCACAAGGGUAAAGGAACAGUACCACUGCUGGAUAAUUGGAAAGUCCCUGUGUGUCAACCUUUGUGCUUCGUGGCAAGGUAGACUAGCAAACAUGCCCAACCUUUACUCACAUUCGAGAAAACACUCCCAAUAAGAUUGCUUGCUCCAAAAUCAAAGAGGCACCGUCCUCCGAAUCUCGAGAGCCAGACUCCCAACAUGACUACUUUCUUAAAAAUCGAAGAGAGGAUAAAUGAACAGUACCAUUGCUGGAUAAUUGGAAAGUCCCUGUGUGUCAACCUCUGUGCUUCGUGGCAAGGUAGACUAGCAAACAUGCCCAACCUUUACUCACAUUCGAGAAAACACUCCCAACAAGAUUGCUUGCUCCAAAAUCGAAGAGGCACCGCCCUCCGAAUCUCGAGAGCCAGACUCCCAACAUGAUUACUUUCUCAAAAAUCGAAGAGACACUGCUCCCCGAAUCUUCGAGAGCCAGACCCUCAGCAUGAUUGCUUUCUCAAAAAUCGUUCUCCGAAUCAAUCGAAGAGGCGCUCGCUUUCUCAAAAGCUGGGCUGCUCAGAGACCACGAGGGCCGAUCUCAGAAAUCGAAGAGGCACCUACUAUUCUAGCCUUGUCAGCACCUGUCACACGCACACUCAGCUUUGCAGAAAUUAUGGGCAUUCUGUCGAAGACUUCUGGGGAAGUAGAACACACAUGAAUCUUACUGUUCAAUCACCCACUUCCCACACGCAACAAUAGCUCAUGGGUACCACAGAUAACUUUGCCAAAGUUCUCUGCCAAAGUUGAGCACGUGAAGCUUGCAGCUCCCACUACAUCGCUCUGACCAAGAAAGGUAAAAGAAUAGCAAAGAAACAGCACUAACAAAGUUUAGACACAUAAAUUUUAAAGGUCUAGCUACCAUAUUAUUACCCACAAGGGUAAAGGAACAGUACCAUUGCUGGAUAAUUGGAAAGUUCCUGUGUGUCAACCUCUGUGCUUCGUGGCAAGGUAGACUAGCAAACAUGCCCAACCUUUACUCACAUUCGAGAAAACACUCCCAACAAGAUUGCUUGCUCCAAAAUCGAAGAGGCACCGUCCUCCGAAUCUCGAGAGCCAGACUCCCAACAUGACUACUUUCUCAAAAGCGAAGAAAGGGUAAAGGAACAGUACCAUUGCUAGAUAAUUGGAAAGUCCCUGUGUGUCAACCUUUGUGCUUCCGGGCAAGGUAGACUAGCAAACAUGCCCAACCUUUACUCACAUUCGAGACAACACUCCCAACAGGAUUGCUUGCUCCAAAAUCGAAGAGGCACCGCCCUCCGAAUCUCGAGAGCCAGACUCCCAACAUGAUUACUUCCUCAAAAAUCGAAGAGACACUGCUCUCCGAAUCUCGAGAGCCAGACCCCCAGCAUGAUUGCUUUCUCAAAAAUCGAAGAGGCAUCGUUCUCCGAAUCUCGAGAGCCAGAUACCACAGACCACUUUUUCAAAGUGCUCUGACAGAGUUAAAACAUGUGAAACUGGCAGCUCCCACUACCGUGCUAUGACCAAGCAGGGUAAAUGAAUAGCAUUACUACUUGUUGUUAGGGAGACUCCUAUAUAUGUCGACCUCCAUCCCCAACGGACAGGCAGACCUGCAAAAAUGCUCAACCCUUCAUCAUAUCUGAGAGGGCACUCCCAACGAAGCCUUUCGAAAUAUUCAGCUUUCUUCCCCCCCCCCCCGAUAAUACCUCUGCAAACAAGCUAUACUAGAGCAAGAAUAUCUCAUAUCAUCAGGGUUAAAAGCAAGAGUAUCCCAUAUCAUGCUUUUUCCCUGUCUUUUCCUUUGGCCUUGUUUUUACCUGCAAGACAAGGAGAAAGAGAGCAAUCAGUCAGCACUUGGAAUCAAGCUUCCAGCCAGGAACUGACUGCCUGGAACCCCUUACCUGAUUACUUACCUGACAUUGCUCUCGAGUACUCAUCUUCAACAUCUUAUGUUUCCAGGGAAGAUUCCGCAUCUGCUUGAAGAACAGAUAGGGCAAGUGCGAAGGAUACAAGGAAGCAUGUGGAGACAAGCGUAACAGCACACGUGCCGAUACAUCCAUUACUCUGUCAAAAGCAAAAGUAUCCUAUAUCAGCAGGGUUGAACGUACUCUAGAUUUGAUGGACUUGUUUUGACCCUCAAAUUCUUCAGUCGGCCUUAUACUCUGGAGGAAACCAGGAAACCCUCCAGCUCAGUUCAAGAAUAAGCCUGUGGAAAGUUGCUUCUUCAAAAGCAAAAGUAUCUCAUAUCAUCUCUUCUCAUUUUUCUUCUCUUUAUCCUUCAUGCUGCUGCAAGAUGGGGAGAAGGUGAACAAUCAGUCGGAGCUCUGAUUGCUUACCUUGUCUAUCACCUCUUUCAGCAGACCCCCUAGCUCGGCGACUUGGGGGACUCCUACUACAUGGUUUGUAUCGCGCUUGACCAAGCUUGAAACUACAAGUAAGCUUCAAGUGAAAUUGAUACAUUACCUUGUGCAUCUCCACCAGUUAAAGAUACCACCCCUGGAUGGAGGAAGAGUACUUCAAGAGAAGAUGCCACAUCUACCUAUGAGACAGAUAAGGCAAGUCAAGACGACACCACACUCCGAUACUUAGAAGGUUCGUGAUUACGAGAUCAUUCUCCCACAAUAUUUCCUAAUGUCAUUUGUACUAAAUCAUUCACUUGUACUCACUAAAGGAGAGCUUGAACCUAUGUACUUGUGUAAACCCUUCACAAUUAAUGAGAACUCUUCUAUUCCGUGGACGUAGCCAAUCUAGGUAAACCACGUACAUCUUGUGUUUGCUUUCCUAUCUCUAUCCAUUUAUAUACUUAUCCACACUAAUGACCGGAGCAAUCUAGCGAAGAUCACAAAAAGCGACCGUUUUUGCUACCUAUGAUCUAUCUUGCAAGAGAACGGAGAAUUAGAUGGAGAUCUCAACCAUAGAAUACGAGCUGGAUGGAUGAAGUGUAAGAGUGCAUCCGGCGUGUUGUGUGACCGUCGUAGGCCACUGAAGCUCAAGGGAAAAUUUUAUAGGACGGCAAUAAGGCCAGCGAUGUUGUAUGGCACAUAAUGUUGGGCGGUGAAGCAUCAACACGUACACAAAAUGGGUGUAGCGGAGAUGAGGAUGCUUUGUGGGAUGUGUGGGCACACGAGAAAAGAUAAGAUUGGGAAUGAGGAUAUCCGAGGUAAAAUAGGAGUAGCCGAAAUUGUAGGAAAGAUGAGAGAAAAUCGGCUCCGGUGAUUUGGACAUGUGCAAAGAAGGCCGACUGACGCUCCGGUUCGAAGAUGUGACUACGGGACAGAGGUUCAGGGCCGAAGGGGUAGAGGAAGACCUAGGAAAACUUUGGAAGAGACUCUAAGAAAAGACUUAGAGUACUUGGAUCUAACGGAGGACAUGACACAAAACCGAGCGCAAUGGCGUUCUAGGAUUCAUAUAGCCGACUCCACUUAGUGGGAAAAGGCUUUGUUGUUGUUGUUGUUGUUGUUGUUUGUACUUACGGCUCUACAGAUGGCUAAAUAGUUGGAUGAAAUAUUAGAUCAUGCCGAAGCGAAUCUUGCUUCCAGCUGCAUGGCAGAUACUGGAUGUAUGUCGUUCCUUGAGCAGAUCAUUUUUCCAAUAAAUGGAAUAUUGGUUGCGGUUAGUGGAUCUCUAUUUCACAUUUCAUUUUUCCAAUAUAUGGAACAAUGCUACUCUUACUCAUCCUCGUGUUCGAGUGAUGAAUGAGUGUAGCUUUCCUUGAUCAACAAGUCUAGCUUUCGACUUUAUCUGGUUUCUAGAAUUAACAAAAGUUUUGUGAUUUGGCAGGGCGGCCACUCGUGUAGAACAAGUAGCUAUUUAUUACUUUGUGUAGAACGUAAUUGAGCAUGAAGUAGAAGUGUUAGUAAUAAGUAUUUGAUGAUUGAAAGAGUGAGAUCGAGAAUGCAAGGGGGCCUGAACCGAGGUGUUCUGCCUUACUUAGCUUAUCCCCUCACUUGGUUAUACAAAUUGUUUACUUUAACUAUGUAGUUGAUACAGCUUAUAGGAUAAUUGCAAAUUACCUUAUUAAAAUGCUAUUAAUUGCGAAGGUCAAAUUUUUUUACUUCAUGUUUCUUACCAGUUAUUAGUUAUUGGUAUAGUGUUUGUUCUCUUUCUAAUAUUGACGAGGUCUCAAGUUACGAAUGUCCCUAUUCUCAUAAUUUGUUGAAACAUAUUUAGUUAAUUUGGAUUGACGUUUUGAUUUGAUUUGAUUUGCUUGAACCGGUGGUGUUUGCUUUGAGGGUGUGCGUGUGUUUUUAAUCGACAAUUAUAGUUCACAAUAGGGGUGGGUGUCGGUUGGUUGGGCAAAAAUUGUGAACCGAAACCAACUAAAUUGGGUCUAAAAUCAAUCAGGUCGGUUAACCGACAAUGGUAGGUUGGUUUGGAUUGGUUCUUUGUUUGUGUAAGAAAAAAAUACAUAACAAAUUUUUCUCUCAAAAGCUACAGAACGUAGCAUCAAUGACCAAUAUGAGUGAUUGCUAAAAGGAAUGCACAAAUGAAGCAGCCCAAGGAGAGCACCAAAGCAGUAGUUGCUGCCGUCUCCAAAUGGUGCCCCCUGUCCUUCUCCAAAUGACUCUUAAACUAGUCAGGUUUUGUUUUCAUGUGGUAAAAAUACGGUAACUCAUAAAUAAUUAAUCAUUUUUAUUACUACACGUAUUAAUUAUGAUUAAAAAUAAAUAAAAUAAAGUAUAUGCAGGUCGGUUCAGUUAACCACAUCCUAAGAAUUUUGAGAACCAAUUGUCAAACAGAUUAAAGCCAGUGCGGUUUGUUUAACCACCGAGAACUAAACACCACAAAACAAAAACCAAACUAAACUAAUCCGGCGGUGCGGUUCAGUCGGUUUUAUUUAGUUUUUUUUAAUAAAUGCCCAGUCCUUGUUCACAUCCAUCUUGGCCUCGACCUCGAGCAGGCAAGCUUCUGCAUUUUAGAGUCAUUGUUGGUCUUUUGAGUUUUGUGGAUAUUUCGCUUAGGUAAUGGUUGUUGGUGUUCAUACUGCCCUUCUCUCUCUUUUGUGUUCGUUGUUAGUUUUGAGUCCGUUUCUAAAACCAAAAAUGAUUUAAUUGUGAAACACUAUUACGUAUUUGGCUGGAUUCUUGGAGGCUCAUGUGAUCUUGAUAUUGGGCUUUUAACAUUGGGCAAAGCAAGCAAGGCCCAUGGAACGUUGCUUGUUGCACACGUUGUCUGUGCUCUGUUACAUUUUUCAGACUUAAAACUCAAUUCUGCAGGGCAGCUCGCAUUCAUGGUUCCCUUGAACAAGACAUUGCAAAAUUUCCCCAAAUGGCAAAAGCCUUCAUAAUUGUAUUGAAGGUGAAAAAUAUAUUCUCAUUUUAUUUUCAAAAUAUAGUUUAAAUAUACAAAAAAAUACAAUUAUUUUUGUAAAACAAAAAGGCAAUAUUAAGAGGCAUUUAUUUGUACUGGCAACAAGUAGGACUAGUUAUUGAGUAGAAAGAGAUUGAGCAAAAGAUUAAACGUUAAAUUCUCGUCCUUAUCAUAUUUAGUUUAUGCAAAAGAAAAUUAUCCUAAAGAAAAUGAAAAGAGAUAGUGUUUUUCGACGAGUCGUUUUUUUUUGUUUGUUGAAACACACCACUCGUUUCAUGAACGACUUGGAAAAAAAAAAGGCAACCAAAUGUUUAAUUACAACACGUGUCCUUAAAUUAGAAAGUAAAAUUCAUAUCGAUUAGUGCUUCCUAUGUGUUCUAAUAGUUUUCCACGAAGAAUUUACCUGAAGACAUGCCCUAAUGAAGCUUUUUUACUAAUGGUAUAAACAAAUGCGUAAAAAGGAUAUAUAUAUAUUUUGGUCAUCAAUAAGGGUCAUAUUCAGAUGGGUAAGAAGAUAUUCAAUAGCUAUUUAAUUAAACUAGCUCUCACAUAAGUUUAAAAUAUUGGUAUCGCCAGAAAUAUCAAUACACAAAUUUAUGGAAAUAUCGACAGAUAUCGAUAUUGGUUGAUUUUGAUGAAAAUGAUGCAAAUUUGAAAUGAAACUUUAGGGAUUGUCAAACAUUAAUUUCGACGAAAUAUAAGAAUUUUCCUGAUAUUUAACAAACAUACAUUUUGUUUUCUUGUUGCUCUUCGUUCAUUAUUUUUCAUUACGAGUAGGGCAAAACAAAAUUUCAGACAAGAAUAAUGUUUUUGUACUACAAUGCGUCCAAAAGGAGUGGACCAAUGGGGACUUGCCAUGUUACAAACGGUCACACAUGCAAACAAAUUCAACUAGAAAAGUUCAAUAUGCUAGUCCACGUGGCGAUCAAGGGUGAAAAGUUAUAUUAUUUGUGUUCCCACAUCUGUCCGCAAUGAAUGUUUCCUCUUGCAAAGCUUGUCUAUUGGCAUAUAACUUUGUAGAGCAAAGGGAGGCAGCAACACAAAUGAAAUAGCAACAUAAAUGAAACCAACAUUUUUUCAUACUUCUUCUGUCCCUAAACCAGUAUCUCAUCAAACCAUUUGAAAUUUUUCCGGAAAAUGUUUCACACAAAGAGCUUCAGAACUUCAUUUGGGAUUGUGAUUUGUUUGCAUUGUAAGUUUUGUUCUCUUUCCUUGUUGGAAUAUGUUUUCAUUUUUUUUUUGAAAAUGAAAAGGCAAUAUUAUGAGGCAUUCAUUAGUAAAAAGAGAUUGAGCAGACGAUUAAAUGUUAAAUUCUCGUCUUUAUCGUAGUUAGUUUAUGCAAAAGAAAAUUAUCCUAAAGAAUAUGAAAAGAGAUUGCGUUUUUGGGCGAGUCGUUUUUUUCGCUUUUUUCCUAUGUGUUGUAAUAGUUUUCCAAGAAGUAUUGAAGCAAAUUUGAAAUGAAACUUUAGAAAUUGUCAAACAUUAAUUUCGACGAAAUAUAACAAUUUUCCAAAUAUUUAACAAACAUACAUUUUGCAUUCAUGGUUCCAUUGAACAAGAUGUUGCAAAAUUUCCCCAAAUGCAAAAAAGCCUUCAUAAUUGUAUUGAAGGUGAAAAAUAUAUUCUCAUUUUAUUUUCAAAAUAUAGUUUAAAUGCACAACAAAAAUACAAUCUUUUUUGUAAAACAAAAAUGCAUUAUUAUGAUUUAUGAGGCAUUUAUUUGUACUGGCUACAAGUAGUACUAGUUACUGAGUAAAAGAGAUUGAGCAAACAACUAAACGUUAAAUUCUCGUCUUUAUCAUAUUUGGUUUCUACAAAAGAAAAUUAUCCUAAAGAAUAUGAAAAGAGAUUGAGUUUAUGGGCGAGUCAUUUUUUUUUUCGCUUUUUUCCUAUGUGUUCAAAUAGUUUUCCAUGAAGCAUUUACUUGAAGAAAUGCCCUAAUGAAGUCUUUUUACUAAUGGUAUAGAAAAAUGCGUAAAAAAUGUUUUUUUUUUAUUGUCAUCAAUAAAGGUCGUAUUUAGCUAGGCAAGAAGAUAUUUAAUAGUUAUUUAAUUAAACUAGCUCUCACAUAAAAUUAGUGUUUAAAAUAUCAGUAUUUGGUAGAAAUAUCAAUACACAAAUUUAUGGAAAUAUCGAUAUCGGUUGAUUUUGAUGAAAAUGAUGCAAAUUUGAAAUGAAACUUUAGGGAUUGUCAAACAUUAAUUUCGAUGAAAUAUAAGAAUUUUCCGAUAUUUAACAAACAUACAUUUUGUUUUAUUGUUGCUCUUCGUUCAUUAUUUUUCAUUACAAGUAGGGCAAGAAAAAAUUUCAGACAAGAACAACGUUUUUGUACUAUAAUGUGUCCAAAAGGAGUGGACUAAUAGGGACUUGCCAUGUUACAAAUGGUCAUACAAGCAAACAAAUUCAACUAGAAAAGUUCAAUAUGCUUGUCCACGUGGCGAUCAAGGGUGAAAAGUUACAUUAUUUGUGUUCCCACAUCUGUCCAAAGCGAAUGUUUCCUCUUGCAAAGCUUGUCUAUUGGCAUAUAUAGCUUUGGAGAGCAGAGGGAGGCAGCAACACAAAUGAAACAGCAACAUAAAUGAAACCAGCAUUUUUUCGUACCUUUUCUGUCUCCAAACCAGUAUCUCAUCAAAUCGUUUGAAAUUUUUCCACACGAAGAGCCUCAAAACGUCAUUUGGGAUUGUGAUUUGUCUGCAUUGUAAGUUUUGUUCUCCUUCUUUUUUGGAAUAUGUUUUCAUUUUUUUUAUGGUUGUACGUUCUUGCUAUGUUUACACAAGGCAUUCAUGGUUCCCUUGAACAAGACGUUGCAAAAUUUCCCCAAAUGGCAAAAGCCUUCAUAAUUGUAUCGAAGGUGAAAAAUAUCUUCUCAUUUUAUUUUCAAAAUAUAGUUUAAAUAUGCAAAACAAAUACAAUCUUUUUUUGGAAAAUGAAAAUGCAAUAUUAUGAGGCAUUCAUUAGUAAAAAGAGAUUGAGCAGACAAAUAAAUGUUAAAUUCUCGUCUUUAUCAUAGUUAGUUUAUGCAAAAGAAAAUUAUCCUAAAGAAUAAGAAAAUAGAUUGCAUUUUUGGGCGAGUCGUUUUUUUUGCUUUUUUCUUAUGUAUUCUAAUAGUUUUCCACAAAGCAUUUACUUGAAGACAUGCCCUAAUGAAGUCUUUUUACAAAUGGUAUAGGAAAAUGCGUAAAAAAUGAUUUUUUUUUUGGUUUUUGGUCAUCAAUAAGGGUCGUAUUCAACUAGGCAAGAAGAUAUUUAGUAGCUAUUUAUUAAACUAGCUCUCCCAUAAAAUUAAUGUUAAAAAUAUCAGUAUUGGUAGAAAUAUCAAUACACAAAUUUAUGGAAAUAUCGACAAAUAUCGAUAUCAGUUGAUUUUGAUGAAAAUGAGGCAAAUUUGCAAUGAAAAUUUAGGGAUUGUCAAACAUUAAUUUCGACAAAAUAUAAAAAUUUUCCCGAUAUUUAACAAACAUACAUUUUGUUUUCUUGUUGCUAUUCGUUCAUUAUUUUUCAUUACGAGUAGGGCAAAACAAAAUUUCAGACAAGGAUAACGUUUUUGUACUACAAUGCAUCCAAAAGGAGUGGACCAAUGGGGACUUGCUAUGUUACAAACGAUCACACAAGCAAACAAAUUCAACUAGAAAAGUUCAAUAUACUAGUCCACGUGACGAUCAAGGGUGAAAAGUUACAUUAUUUGUGAUUCAUUAGUCCACAACGAAUGUGUCCUCUUGCAAAGCUUGUCUAUUGGCAUAUAGCUCUGGAGAGCAAAGGGAGGCAGCAACACAAAUGAAAUAGCAACAUAAAUGAAACCAACAUUUUUUUAUACUUCUUCUAUCUCUUAACCAGUAUCUCAUCAAACCAUUUGAAAUUUUUCCGGAAAAUGUUUCACACGAAGAACUUCAGAACUUCAUUUGGGAUAGUGAUUUAUUUGCAUUGUAAAUUUUGUUCUCUUUCCUUGUUGGAAUAUGUUUUCAUUUUUUUUAUGGUUGUACCUUCUCGCUAUGUUUACACAAGGCAUUCAUGGUUCCCUUGAACAAGACGUUGCAAAAUCUCCCCAAAUGGCUAAAGCCUUCAUAAUUGUAUUGAAGGUAAAAAAAUAUCUUCUCAAUUUAUUUUCAAAAUAUAGUUUAAAAAUACAACAAAAAUACAAUCUUUUUUUUUUCGGAAAAUGAAAAGGCAAUAUUAUGAGGCAUUCAUUAGUAAAAAGAGAUUGGGCAGACGAUUAAAUGUUAAAUUCUCGUCUUUAUCAUAGUUAGUUUAUGCAAAAGAAAAUUAUCCUAAAGAAUAUGAAAAGAGAUUGCGUUUUUGGGCGAGUCGUUUUUUUCGCUUUUUUCCUAUGUUUUGUAAUAGUUGUCCAAGAAGCAUUGAUGCAAAUUUGAAAUGAAACUUUAGAGAUUGUCAAACAUUAAUUUCCACAAAAUAUAAGAAUUUUCCAGAUAUUUAACAAACAUACAUUUUGCAUUCAUGGUUCCCUUGAACAAGAUGUUGCAAAAUUUCCCCAAAUGCAAAAAAGCCUUCAUAAUUGUAUUGAAGGUGAAAAAUAUCUUCUCAUUUUAUUUUCAAAAUAUAGUUUAAAUACACAACAACAAUACAAUCUUUUUUGUAAAACGAAAAUGUAUUAUGAUUUAUGAGGCAUUUAUUUGUAUUGGCAACAAGUAGUACUAGGUAAUGAGUUAAAAGAGAUUGAGCAAACCAUUAAACGUUAAAUUCUCAUCUUUAUCAUAUUUGGUUUCUACAAAAAAAAAAUUAUCCUAAAGAAUAUGAAAAGAGAUUGAGUUUUUGGGCGAGUUGUCUUUUUUUCCGUUUUUUUCCUAUGUGUUCUAAUAGUUUUCCAUGAAGCAUUUACUUGAGGAAAUGCCCUAAUGAAGUCUUUUUACUAAUGGUAUUGAAAAAUGCGUAAUUUUUUUUUUUUUUGUCAUCAAUAAAGGUCGUAUUCAGCCAGGCAAGAAGAUAUUUAGUAGUUAUUUAAUUAAACUAGCUCUGGCAUAAAAUUAGUGUUUAAAAUAUUAGUAUUUGGUAGAAAUAUCGAUACACAAAUUUAUGGAAAUAUCGAUAUCGGUUGAUUUUGAUGAAAAUGAUGCAAAUUUGAAAUGAAACUUUAGGUAUUGUCAAAGAUUAAUUUCGAUGAAAUAUAAGAAUUUCCUGAUAUUUAACAAACAUACAUUUUGUUUUCUUGUUGCUCUUCGUUCAUUAUUUUUCAUUACAAGUAGGGCAAGAAAAAAUUUCAGACAAGAACAACGUUUUUGUACUAUAAUGCGUCCAAAAGGAGUGGACUAAUAGGGACUUGCCAUGUUACAAACGGUCAUACAUGCAAACAAAUUCAACUAGAAAAGUUCAAUAUGUUUGUCCACGUGGCGAUCAAGGGUGAAAAGUUACAUUAUUUGUGUUCCCACAUCUGUCCAAAGAGAAUGUUUCCUCUUGCAAAGCUUGUCUAUUGGCAUAUAUAGCUUUGGAGAGCAGAGGGAGGCAAGAACACAAAUGAAAAACAAUAUAAAUGAAACCAGCAUUUUUUCGUACAUUUUCUGUCUCCAAACCAGUAUCUCAUCAAAUUUGAAAUUUUUCCACACGAAGAGCCUCAAAAUGUCAUUUGGGAUUGUGAUUCGUCUGCAUUGUAAGUUUUGUUCUCUUUCUUUUUUGGAAUAUUUGUUCAUGUUUUUUAUGGUUGUACGUUCUCUCUACGUUUACACAAGGCAUUCAUGGUUCCCUUGAACAAGACGUUGCAAAAUUUCCUCAAAUGGCAAAGCCUUCAUAAUUGUAUCGAAGGUGAAAAAUAUCUUCUCAUUUUAUUUUCAAAAUAUAGUUUAAAUAUACAACAAAAAUACAAUCUUUCUUUUGGAAAGUGAAAAUGCAAUAUUAUGAGGCAUUCAUUAGUAAAAAGAGAUUGAGCAGACAAUUAAAUGUUAAAUUCUCGUAUUUAUCAUAGUUAGUUUAUGUAAAAGAAAAUUAUCCUAAAGAAUAUGAAAAGAAAUUGCGUUUUUGGGCGAGUCGUUUUUUUCACAUUUUUCCUAUGUGUUCUAAUAGUUUUCCAUGAAGCAUACCUUGAAAACAUGCCCUAAUGAAGUCUUUUUACAAAUGGUAUAGGAAAAUGCGAAAAAAAAGUUUUUUUUUUGGUUUUUGGUCAUCAAUAAGGGUCGUAUUCAGCUGGGCAAGAAGAUAUUUAGUAGCUAUUUAAUUAAACUAGCUCUCGCAUAAAAUUAGUGUUUAAAAUAUCAGUAUUGGUAGAAAUAUCAACACACAAAUUUAUGGAAAUAUUGACAAAUAUCGAUAUCGAUUGAUUUUGAUGAAAAUGAGGCAAAUUUGUAAUGAAACUUUAGGGAUUGUUAAACAUUAAUUUCGACGAAAUAUAAUAAUUUUCCCGAUAUUUAACAAACAUACAUUUUGUUUUCUUGUUGCUCUUCGUUUAUUAUUUUUCAUUACGAGUAGGGCAAAACAAAAUUUCAGACAAAGAUAACGUUUUUGUACUACAAUGCGUCUAAAAGGAGUGGACCAAUGGGGACUUGCCAUGUUACAAACGGUCACACAUGCAAACAAAUUCAACUAGAAAAGUUCAAUAUGCUAGUCCACGUGGCGAUCAAGGGUGAAAAGUUACAUUAUUUGUGUUCCCACAUAUGUCAGCAACGAAUGUUUCCUCUUGCAAAGCUUGUCUAUUGACAUAUAGCUCUGAAGAGCAAAAGGAGGCAGCAAUACAAAUGAAAUAGCAACAUAAAUGAAACCACCAUUUUUUCAUACUUCUUCUGUCUCCAAACCAGUAUCUCAUCAAACCAAUUGAACUUUUUUCGGAAAAUGUUUCACAUGAAGAGCUUCAGAACUUCAUUUGAGAUUGUGAUUUGUUUGCAUUGUAAGUUUUGUUCUCUUUCCUUAUUGGAAUAUGUUUUCAUUUUUUUUAUGGUUGUACCUUCUCGCUACGUUUACACAAGGCAUUCAUGGUUCCCUUGAACAAGACGUUGCAAAAUCUCCCCAAAUGGAAAAAGCCUUCAUAAUUGUAUUGAAGGUGAAAAAUAUCUUCUCAUUUAUUUUCAAAAUAUAGUUUAAAUACACAACAAAAAAUACAGUCUUUUUUGUAAAAUGAAAAUGCAUUAUUAUGAUUUAUGAGGCAUUUAUUUGUACUGGCAACAAGUAGUACUAGUUACUGAGUAAAAAGAGAUUGAGCAGAUGAUUAAACAUUGAAUUCUUGUCCUUAUCAUAUUUAGUUGAUGCAAAAGAAAAUUAUCCUAAAGAAUAUAAAAAAAGAUUGAAUUUUUGGGCAAGUCGUUUUUUUUGCUUUUUUCCCAUGUUUCUAAUAGUUUUCCACGAAGCAUUUAUUUGAAGACAUGCCCUAAUGAAGUCUUUUUACUAAUGGUAUAGAAAAAUGCAUAAAAAAUGUUUUUUUUGUCAUCAAUAAAGGUUGUAUUCAACUGGCCAAGAAGAUAUUUUGUAGCUAUUUAAUUAAAUUAGCUCUCCAAUAAAAAUAAUGUUUAAAAUAUUAGUAUUAGUAGAAAUAUCGAUACACAAAUUUAUGGAAAUAUCGGAAGAUAUCGAUAUCGAUAUCAAUUGAUUAUGAUGAAAAUGAUGCAAAUUUGCAAUGAAACUUUAGGGAUUGUCAAACAUUAAUUUCGACGAAAUAUAAAUUUCCCGAUAUUUAACUAACAUACAUUUUGUUUUCUUGUUGUUCUUUGUUCAUUAUUUUUCAUUACGAGUAGGGCAAAACAAAAUUUCAGGCAAGUACAACGUUUUUGUACUACAAUGCAUCCCAAAGGAGUGGCCCAAUGGGGACUUGCCAUCUUACAAAAGGUCAAACAUGCAAACAAAUUCAACUAGAAAAGUUUAAUGUGCUAGUCCACGUGGUGAUUAAGGGUAAAAAGUUACAUUAUUUGUGUUCCCACGUCUGUCUACAACGAAUGUUUCCUCUUGCAAAGCUUAUUUAUUGGCAUAUAGCUCUGGAGAGCAGAGGGAGGCAGCAAUAUAAAAGAAACAGCAACAUAAAUGAAACCAGCAUAUUUUCAUACUUUUUUUGUCUCCAAACCAGUAUCUCAUCAAUUCGUUCGAAAUUUUUUCGAAUUUUUUUUUCACACGAACAGUUUUAGAACUUCAUUUGGGAUUGAGAUUUGUCUGCAUUGUAGGUUUUGUUUUCUUUCUAUUUUGAAAUAUGUUUUCAUUUUUUUUAAUGGUUGUAGCUUCUCGCUUCGUUUACACAAGGCUUUCAUGGUUCCCUUGAACAAGACAUUGCCAAAUUUCCCCAAAUGGAAAAAGCCUUCAUAAUUGUAUUGAAGGUGAAAAAUAACUUCUCAUUUUAUUUUCAAAAUAUAGUUUAAAUACACAACAAAAAUAAAAAUUUUUUUUUUGUAAAACGAAAAUGCAUUAUUAUGAUUUAUGAGGCAUUUAUUUGUAUUGGCAACAACUAGUACUAGUUACUGAGUAAAAAGAGAUUGAGCAGACGAUUAAACGUUAAAUUCUUGUCUUUACCAUAUUUAGUUUAUGCAAAAGAAAAUUAUCCUAAAGAAUAUGAAAAGAGAUUGAGUUUUUGGGCGAGUCAUUUUUUUCUCUUUUUUCCUAUGUGUUCUAAUAGUUUUCCACGAAGCAUUUACUUGAAGACAUCCCUUAAUGAAGUCUUUUUACUAAUGGUAUAGAAAAAUGCGUAAAAAAAAUGUUUUUUUUUUGUCAUCAAUAAGGGUUGUAUUUAGCUGGGCUAGAAGAUAUUUAAUUAAACUAGCUCUCACAUGAAAAUAGUGUUUAAAAUAUCAGUAUCGGUAGAAAUAUCGAUACAUAAAUUUAUGGAAAUAUCAACAAAUAUUGAUAUCGGUUGAUUUUGAUGAAAAUGAUGCAAAUUUGAAAUGAAACUUUAGCAAUUGUCAAACAUCAAUUUUGACGAAAUAUAAGAUUUUUUCCGAUAUUUAACAAACAUACAUUUUGUUUUCUUGUUGCUAUUCGUUCAUUAUUUUUCAUUACGAGUAGGGCAAAACAAAAUUUCAGACAAGAACAACGUUUUUGUACUACAAUGCGUACAAAAGGAGUGGGCCAAUGGGUACUUGCCGUGUUACAAAAGGUCAAACAUGCAAACAAAUUCAAUUAGAAAAGUUCAAUGUGCUAGUCCACGUGGCGAUUAAGGGUGAAAAGUUACAUUAUUUGUGUUCCCACAUCUGUUCGCAACGAAUGUUUCUUCUUGCAAACCUUGUCUAUUGGCAUAUAUCUCUAGAGAGCAAAGGGAGGCAGCAACACAAAUGAAACCAACAUUUUUUCAUACUUUUUCUGUCUCCAAACCAGUAUCUCAUCAAAUCGUUUGAAAAUUUUCUAAGAAAUUUUUCACACGAAGAGCUUCAAAACUUCAUUUGGGAUUGUGAUUUGUUUGCAUUGUAAGUUUUGUUCUCUUUCUUUUUUGGAAUAUGUUUUCAUUUUUCUUUAUGAUUGUACGUUCUUACUACGUUUACACAAGGCAUUCAUGAUGGAAAAAGCCUUCAUAAUUGUAUAGAAGGUGAAAAAUAUCUUCUCAUUUUAUUUUCAAAAUAUAGUUUAAAUAUGCAACAAGAAUACAAUCUUUUUUUGUAAAAUGAAAAGGCAAUAUUAUGAGGCAUUUAUUUGUAAUUGUUCACCCAAGUAAACAACUGGCAACAAGUAGUACUAGUUCCGAGUAGAACUAGAAAGAGAUAGAGCCAACGACGUAAAAUUCUUGUCUUUAUCAUAUUUAAUUUAUCCAAAAGAAAAUUAUAUUAAAGAAUACGAAAAGAGACUGCAUUUUUGGGUGAGUCGCUUUUUUCUGUUUGUUGAAAUCAUGAACGAAUUGGAAAAAAAAAGGCGACCAAAUGUUUAUUACCACAUGUGUCCUUAAAUUAGAAAGUAAAAUUCGUAUCAAGUGUUUCUUGUGUUAUAAUAGUUUUCGAUGAAAAAUUUACUUAAAGACAUGCCCUAAUGAAGUCUUUUCACUAAUGGUACAAAAAAAUGCGCAAAAUAAAGUUUUUUUUUUUGUCAUAAAAUAAUGGUCGUAUUCAGCAAGCUGUGAAGAUAUUCGAUAGCUAUCCAAUUAAAUUAACUCUCACAUAAAAUUAAUGUGUAAGUUAUAGGUAUUAAUAGAAAUAUCGAUAUGCAAGUUUAUGGAAAUAUCGACAGAUAUCGAUAUUGAUAUCGGUUAAUUUGGAAGGAAACGAUGAAAUUUUAAAAUAAAACUGUACUGAUUGUCAAACAUUGAUUUCGAUGAAAUUAAGAGUUUUUCUAAUAUUUAUCAGAUAUACAUUUUGUGUCUGAUCCGUAUUGACUUAUUCCAAAAUAUAAAAAUCAUGAGAAAUGGGGUGAAAUGGGUAUCAGUUGUAGUGGCAUAUUUUGUAAUUUUUGUUUAUUUUAAAUGCAUUUAAGUAUCAUAAUACAUGAUUGACCUAUUUAUAAUUAACAUAAAUAUUGUUGAUAUAUUUGUUCAUAUUGUAACUUUUUAAUUGAUUUUAUACAAAAUAACCCUGGUAUAUGCAUAUCACGUUGUCACAUAAAUAUUACUUCAAAAUAAAAAUAAAAAACAUUUUUCUUUCAAGUAUUACAUACUCCAAAAUAAGAGCCUAAUAAAAAAAUUAGUCUAGUACUACAAAAUACUAAAUGUUCAACGAUAUGCAAAAUGAAGGGAGUUGUCUUUUAAGGUUGAAGAACCUUACACGUUUUUUACAAUAAAACCCUUCAAUUUCAUCAAUCAUCAAGGAAAAUGGUAUUGGAACUUUGACUUGAUAUAUUGUCUUCAAGAGUUAUAUUGAGAAUGUUUUCAUUAAAGCUUUCCACAUUAGCACUCUCUUCUAUAUAAACAAAGCAUCAAAACCAAACAUUGUAAACCAUUCAAAUGUGUUUGGUAUUUUUGAAUCCCUUGAUAUUUUUAUUUUUAAUGUGUUUUAUAAUUUUUUUAAUCUCAUUCUUUACUUAUAGGAUAAUAUAAAAAUCAAUAAAUAAACAAGAAUUAAAAUUUAUAUAAAAUAAUAAUACAUAUUAAUAUACAAUAAAUACAAUAUGGCUAUUGCAUUUUAUAGUAAGUUUUUUAGUAGUUUAAAAUACUAAAAUCAUCAAAAUAACUUUUUUCUUAAAGUGUAGAAAUGAGUUACUCAUGUAUCACUUUCGUGUAAACUUGUCAAUGACUGUUAUUAGCAGGUUUUUAGUGUGGCCCGCUAACAACCCGAUUAGUUAUCGCUUUGACUCGAAACCCGUUAUUUUCGUGUCGUGCUAAUAGGUCGUGUAAGAAAUUGUCAGGUCUAGUUUUGAGUCUGUUUCCAAAACCAAAAAUGGUUGUGGUUAAUUGUGGAACACUGUUACAUAUUGGACUGGAUUCUUGUAUGGCCAUAUGAUCUUGAUAUUGGGCUUUUAAAAUUGGGCAGAACAGGAAAGGCCCAUGGAACGUUGCUUGUUGCAGAUGUUGUAUGUGAUAUGUUAAAUUUUUCAGACUUAAAACUUAGUUUUGUAGGGCAGUUGGCAUUCAUGGUUCCCUUGAACAAGACGUUGCAGAGUUUCCUCAAAUGGGAAAAGCCUUCAUGAUUGUAUUGAAGGUGGAAAAUAUUUUCUCAUUUUAUUUUCAAAAUGUAGUUUAAAUAUACAACAAAAAUACAUUUUUUUUUUGUAAAAUGAAAAGGCAAUAUUAUGAGGCAUUUAUUGGUAGUUGUUCAUACAAGAAAACAACUGGCAACAAGUAGUACCAGUUCCAAGUAGAACUAGAAGGAGAUUGAGCUGAUGAUUAAACGUAAAAUUCUUGUCUUUAUCAUAUUUAGUUUAUCCAAAAGAAAAUUAUCUUAAAGAAUCCGAAAAGAGAUUGCAUUUUUGGGCGAGUUUUUUUUUUUUUGUUUGUUGAAAUCUUGAAUGAAUUGGAAAAGAAAAGGCAAUCAAAUGUUUACUACCAGACGUGUCCUUAAAUUAGAAAGGUAAAAUUCGUAUCAAGUGUUUCCUAUGGUCUAAUAGUUUUCCACGAAUCAUUUACUUGAAGACAUGCACUAAUAAGUCUUUUCACUAAUGGUGUAGAAAAAUGUGCAAAACAAAGUUUUUUUUUGUUUUUGUUUUUUUUGCCAUCAAAUAAUGGUCAUAUUCAGCAAGCCGUGAAGCAAUUUAGUAGCUAUCUAAUUAAACUAACUCUCACAUAAAAUUAGUGUAUAAGUUAUGGUUAUCAGUAGAAAUAUCAAUAUGUAAAUUUAUAGAAAUAUCGACAAAUAUCGAUAUUGAUAUCGGUUAAUUUGGAAGGAAAUGAUGAAAAUUUAAAAUAAAACUUUAUAGAUUGUCAAACAUUGAUUUCGACAAAAUGUAAGAGUUUUUCUAAUAUUUAUCAGAUAUACAUUUUGUGUCUGAUCCGUAUUGAUUUAUUCCAAAAUAUAAAAACUUUGAGAAAUGGGGUGAAAUGGGUGUCAGCUGUAGUGGCAUAUUUGUAAUUCUUGUUUAUUUUAAAUGCAUUUAAGUAUCACAAUACAUGAUUGAUUUAUUUAUAAUUAACUUAAAUAUUGUUGAUAUAUUUGUUAAUAUUGUAACUUUUUUUAUUGAUUUUAUACAAAAUCACCCUGGUAUAUGCAUACCACGUUGUCACAUAAAUAUUACUUCAAAAGAAAAACAAAAACCGUUUUUCUUUCAAGUAUUACUGUCACGCCCCGGACCCAGAGUCGGUAAUAAAAACUCAAACCCAAAUCCGAAACGCGAGUUAAAAGUAAAAAUAAAUAAAAGGAAAUUGACACGGGUUGGAAAAAUAAACUCCUCUUAUUAGAAUAACUCCAAAAUCCUUACAGGGUGUACAAAAAUAAUAAAUUAAAAUCCUUAAGCUUCUCCUCAAUCACAACGUAAGCUCUUCUAACACCCGUCUUGCCAAAUAACAUCUGUCUUGCCAAAUAACUCAUCUGUAAAAUAAUAGGUGAGGGGUGAGCAACAACCACUGUCGCUCAGUGAGUAGAAUAUGUAAUAUGUCAGUCAAACAAUGCCUUUUUACACACACUAGAAAAUACAAUAAUAAUAUCAAAGCUUUAACCACGUAAUUUCAUAUCACAUCAUCCCUUUACGUGUUCAUUACAUCUUUCAUAAAUUGUAACUCACCACAUGACUCCUACUGGCCUUUCCGCCCUAAUGUCCCCGUGUGCAGUUUACAUUAUCCCUUUGAUUAAUGCAACACUAAAGUUCUCAUGCUCCAUGAACAUAUCCAAAUAAUCCACAUAUCACCAUAUUAAUGAUUCCAAGGGUAUUUCAACAAAUCCAACAGGCUUGACUUAAAAUAGAUAGAGAUUUAUAAAUAGAUAAAACUCAUGAUAGUUCGUGGUUUUCAUUUAUAAAAAAAUAAGAAUAUUUUGAAACACAUUACAUAAACCACUCACCUCGAUAAUCCAAGCUUUGGCAAGACAACCCAACUAACAUCUCCGCACACCUCAAACUAGCCUUCCCUUUUUCUUUUCUUCCUAAGCUCUCACUCUAACGUAAAUAUAAAUACAUACGCACAACAUAUAUAUAUAUAUAUACAUAUACAAGUAUGUAUAUGUGUAUACAUACACACACACCAAUCUCUACGUAAUGCAUGCUCUGCAAUGUCUGCAUGUUUCCUUCUUUUUAUGCUCCAAAAACAAUGGAGCAAAGCUCCUAUUUAUAGUGAAAUAGAAUGGCUCCAAGACUUGAGCUCCAAGGAAAAUAUACAAUAACAUAUAUGAAAUCAUAUCCGUAAACUCCUACAUGUGUAUGAAGGUGAUACUUUUCUUGCGACACCUAUUGUAGUAUCAAGAUCUUAGUCACUAGUUAUGCAAGGUGUCAAUUGCAUUUGUGCAAAGGAUGACACGUCCAGGUAAAUAGCCUUGUAAAAUCAGCACACUAGAGUGCUUACUAAUCACCCAUUUCUCUCUCCCAAGAUAGUUAAGACUAGUACUGAUAGGAGCUAGGCACGUGGUAUAUAAUAAUAAUAAUAACAAAUAUUUACUUUUAAAAUACGGGAUCUUACAAUUACAUGCCCCAAAAUAAGAGCGUCAUAAAAAAAAAUUAGCAUAGUACAACAAAAUAUCACAUGUUCAAGGAUAUGCAAAAUGAAGGGAGUUGCGUUUUAAGGUUGAAGAACCUUACACGUUUUUUUACAAUAAAACCCUUCAAUUUCAUCAAUCACCAAGGAAAAUGAUAUUGGAACUUUGGCUUGAUAUAUUGUCAUUAAGAGUUAUAUUGAGAAUGUUUUCAUUAAAGCAUUCCACAUUAGCACUCUCUUCCAUUUAAACAAAGCAUCAAAACCAAACAUUGUAAACCAUUCAAAUGUGUUUGGUAUUUUUGAAUCACUUGAUAUUUUUAUUUUUAAUGUGUUUUAUAAUUUUUUUAAUCUCAUUCUAUGCCUAUAGGAUAAUAUAAAAAUCAAUAAAUAAACAAAAAUUUAAAUUUAAAAUUUAUAUAAAAUAAUAAUACAUAUUAAUAUACAAUAUAUACACUAUGGCUAUUGUAUAGUAAGUUUUUUUAGUAGUGUAAAAUACUAAAAUCAUCAAAUUAACUUUUUUCUUAAUGUGUCGAAACAAGUUACUCGCGGUUCACUUUCGUGUAAACCUGUCAAGGGCUGUUAUUAGUAGGUUCUUAUCGUGUAGCCCGAUAACAACCCUAUUAGUUAUCGUGUUGACUCGAAACCCGUUAUUUUCGUGUCGUGUUAAUAGGUUGUGUAAGAAACUGUCAAGUCUAGUUUUGAGUCUGUUUUCAAAACCAAAAAUGGUCAUGGUUAAUUGUGGAACACUGUUACAUAUUGGACUGGAUUCUUGGAGGCCCAUAUGAUCUUGAUAUUGGGCUUUUAACAUUGGGCAGGAUAGGCAAGGCCCAUGAAACGUUGCUUGUUGCAAAUGUUGUCUGUGCUUUGUUACAUUUUUUAGACUUCGAGUUCUGUAGGGCAACUGGCAUUCAUGGUUCCCUUAAACAAGACAUUGCAAAAUUUCCUCAAAUGGGAAAAGCCUUCAUAAUUGUAUUGAAGGUGGAAAAUAUCUUCUCAUUUUAUUUUCAAAAUAUAGUUUAAAUAUACAACAAAAAAGAGAUUGAGCCGACGAUUAAACGUAAAAUUCUUGUCUUUAUCAUAUUUAGUUUAUCCAAAAGAAAAUUAUCUUAAAGAAUACGAAAAGGGACUGCGUUUUUGGGCGAGUUGCUUUUUUCGGUUUAUUGAAAUCAUGAAUGAAUUUGAAAAGAAAAGGCAACCAAAUGUUUAUUACCACACGUGUCCUUAAAUUAGAAAGUAAAAUUCGUAUCAAGUGUUCCUAUAUUCUAAUAGUUUUCCACGAAACAUUUCCUUGAAAACAUGCACUAAUGAAGUCUUUUCACUAAUGGUAUAGAAAAUGUGCAAAAGAAAGGUUAUAAUUUCUUUUUCUAAUUUAAUUUAAAUAUACUAUGUUUCAUGGGGAUUCUGCUUCCAAGCUUCAAAACAAGAGCAAAGAGCAAUAUCGGUCUCGACAACUCUAUAAGAUCCGAUUGAUACUUUUAUAUACUAUUUCACACUAAGACACAUUAAAAAGCCUGCUUACUUGAAUCAUGUCCUCUUUGGGUCCUAAUUUUGGUGGCAUGGGUUUAACAGGUGUAGCUAAAGAAGACAUCCGCUUGAUGAAAGUUCCAAUUAUAACCUUUCAUGAAGUAAAUCUUUCGGGGGCGAAUUCUCGAAAUUCAUACAGUGACUAGACUUUUGGUUCUUCCGAGUGUCUAAGUCAGAGGGAAGACGUUGAUCGAAAAAUGACAAGAGGUGCAUUGAUCUCCUUACUUGUGGUUCAUGUAGAAAUACAAAAUUUUUGUGUUGUUAUACUGUGCUUUCUCUCCUUUUUAGUUUGCUACUUCCUGCUUAAUAGAUCAUUAAUAGAUUACUUCUUUAAAGAAAACGCCUAACUUGUUAUCUCUUGCACAAAAGGAUUUAAAUCUAAGAAGGGUACCAUAGUUUCGGCCAUGCUUUUGGAGAAUGGCUUUAUAUUGGGAUUGGAUGCAAGGAUCGUCGAUCUUGACAACACUAGAAGUAAUUUUCUCUAUCUCGAUUUAUUAUUUUCGAUUAAUCUACUAUUAUUUUUUAUUUCAAUGUAUUUAGAUAUGUAUUUUGUAUUUCUUCUUCUUCUAGUAAUAGCCGAUAACCUUAAAAUUCAAACAAUUCUCGAGAACCCACCUAUUCUUGGUUUGAUGUGCGGUGACUUUGGAGCAACGGAGAAUUUAGUUGAUGAUUUAAAGUCUACGACAACAAGUAAUGCAUCAAUGAAAGCACUUGUUGACAGUGGAACUUCCUUUGUAAACCAAGACCAUGGCUGUGUUGCAUUUUCAACGUAUAUAUGCUACAUAGAAGAUGGAGUUCCAAGCGGCUACAUAUUUUGUUUUGUCCCUGAUUUCAACCAUGACAAACAAUGCAAAGAAGACUAUAGUUGUAAGUGUCCGAUAGUUGGGAUUAGAAGAGGUGCUCAAAAGUUGCAGUAUGCUGCGUACAAUGAUGGAUCGAGUGUAGGUGAUGAACACUAUCAUUUGUCUUUACCAUUUUAUGAUGGAAAUAGAGUGAAAAAUGUUGAUACUGCUGACGACUACAAGAUUGUGAACAUUAAGAGAAAACUGAAGAUGAAUUUGAAACAAGUAACAAGGAUCACCCUUUUUGCAAUGCUUUAUGCUUGUUUGGAGGAUAAUGAUUGCGGUGCUCCGUUUAGAUGUAAUUAAGAUAUAAAAAAAAAUUGUAUUUUUUGUUUUAUUGUAGAUAUAGUAUAUACCAAAUUCAUAGAUUGUUACUGUUUUCCUUUUCUUUUCAGUGUGCAGUUUUAGCACAGGGGGAAAAGUUGAGAUUAAGGCCCCCUAUGGUUUCAUUGAAACCUAUCUCGAGUUUUAUGAGGGUUUGAAGGAUACAUGGUUCUUGAUAUAUAACAAAAGACUUGAGGGGUCAAACUUUGGCCACUUUGUUGUUGAACAUAUCCCCGUAAGUUUGCUUUUGGGCUUUAUUUAAGUUAUACUUAGGUUGUUUAGUUUGUUUUUUAAACUUUUAAUGUGGUUACAGGAUUGUGCGUGAAAAGUUGAAAUAUGAAAGACAUCAGGUGGUCCUAUUGGAAGAAGACCUUUGUUUAACAUUCGAAGACCCAUAUCGAAAUUUAUGUUUUAAAUAGGAAAAUUUUGAAAAUACCCUUAGUGAAUGAAAGGUUGACUUUCAUUGACUUUUGUCCGUGGGCAUGUUAGAAAUUUUCAUUUAUUUUAUUUCCAUAGCUUUCGUCGAUACGAACGCAUGGGCGUGAUCGGAAUCGAAAUUGGAGCUAAAACGAAGCUUUUACGAUUUUUGGAAGAUAGGGACGAUUUUUUAAUUUUACAAGGGGAGAUUUUUCUACACUUUGGGCCUCGCCGACACGUGGCGAUUCCCACCCCAUUUCUGGGAUUUGGAUCCUCUCUAGAUCCCCUCCCUGGGGAUCCCGGGGAUCAUUGCACGAGGACUGUUCAUCAAAGAUCGUGCGGCCACAGUUAAAUGUUUUUUAUAUUUUUAAAAGUAAAGCAAUCUCGUUUUACGUAAAAAAUAUUUAAUUGUGGCCGCACGAUAUUUGAUGAACGGUCAUCGUGCAUUGAUCCCCGGGAUCCCCAGGGAGGGGAUCUGGAGAGGAUCCAAAUCCCCAUUUCUAGGGUGUUUUCUUCCCUAGUGAACCAUCUCUCUCUCUAGAACACUCUUGCUCUGUCUCUCUCUGUCUCUCUCUUAACUCUACUAUCUUCUCCCUUCUCCGGCGACGACACACACGCAUACACACAUACACUUAGGCAACAAUCAUCACCACCACACCAUCACCACCACCACCACAUGGACCCUCCCUCUCUCUCUCUCUCGGCACUGUGCACAACCACUGUGUACUCCAUUUUCCGAUGAGGAAUACCCGGGGGAAACUUUUUCUAGUUUUUCAGCGAAGGUCCGUGAAUUGCAAGCCAUAUUUCGGCCGAUCUUGACGUCAACUCAACCCCAUCUUGGUGCAUCUGGUGGAAGUGAUCGAAUCCUCCCUAAUUCAAGCGGUUCUCCGAGAGAGGAAUAUUUGUGAGUUGACCCCUUCUUAACUUGCAUGAUUUUAUAAAAUAUUAGGUUUGCAUGCAUUGCAUAUUUCAUGAAAUAAGCAUGUUUUCUAUUAUGUUUUAUGGAUUCUAUAUUCAUGCUUUUGGAAUAUUUAUGAUUUAUCAAAAUUACAUUUUGCUAAAGGAUAUAAAUUAUUAGAUUUCUAUAUAUAAAACUCUUUGCUUUCGAAUAUGAUCUAUUUUACGGAUUUAAGAAUAUGUGCUAUCAUGAAUUUAUGAGAUGAGACUUUGAGCUUUUGAGUUCCGGGUUUAAUAUAAGAUUUUGAGGUAUGUUUUCGGUACGUAUCUAGUGGGUUAUCAUACAACACAUCCACACAACACGGGUAUGUAGACAUCUAUAGCCAUAUGAUACAGUUGAUGAGGAGUGAGAUGAGAUAUUAUGAUAUACCCCCAGCUUCACUGCCGGAAGCAAUGUCGGACAACUUCACUAGCCACGGCUAGUGUCGGUGUGUGAUGUAUAUAUUUUCUUUUUCGGCGUAACCCGGAAUCGUACAGCUUCACCUUCGAGUGAUAGAGCUUACCAUGCUUCUUCAAUGGCAUAACCCAGUGUCGUACAGUUUUACCUUCGGGUGAUGGACAGGUACUGCCUUCGGGCAACUAUGAUGUGAUUUAUGGAUUGGCCUUCGGGCGAUGAUAGCAGCGUUAUCGAGCAUGGUUUUACUCGUACUUGUUUAUGAAUGUUUUUCAUGGCAUGUAGAGUUUUCAAAAAACUUAAUAUGUAGUACUAUAUAUAUGUUUUCAAAAUAGAGGUUAGUACGUUCUAAAAGAAAUCGGUUUUCUUACUAUUAGUAUUAUUAUAAAUUAUGGUCCACUCACCUUUUCUGUUUUGCGCCCCUUCAAGACAUAGUGACGAGGAGUACGAUCCGAGUAUCGAGGUCUUCCCCUAUCAGUGACUUUGCUUACCUUCACUUGAGUAUGACUUCUCUUUAUGAUCAUUGUUACUUGUUGUUCUACUUUCUUUGGCACUUUCAUUUUAUAGUAUGCUCUGGACAUAUUCAUUAUCGUUGGAUAUCUUGCUUCUCGAUGUUGCGUAUUUGUUGUGAAUGUUAUUCUUGCAUAAUUUCUAGUUUAUUUAUUCUUUCAUAUUCUCAUAGAUUCAUUUAUUUAGGGUGCGUUUGGUACGCGGGACGGGACGGGAUGAAACGGGACGAAGCGUUCCGUCCCGCGUUUGGUACGCUAAAAAAAGGUGGAACGCGCUGUUCCACGGGACAGAAUUUGGGUGUUUUUUGGUCUCGCGUCUACCCCCUGGAACGGGUUGUUCCACGCCUGUGGAACACAAUAUUUUACCAUUUUAAGACAAAUAUACCCCAUAUCUUUUUCAAAAAUUACACCAUCUAAAUCAUUACAAACCCUAAAACAAUAUCUCUUCUCUCUGUCUGCCGUUGUCUUCCUCAUUCCUCUCCUCUGCAUCUCCCCCCCCCUUCGCAACCUUCCUCCUCAUCCUCUGCAUCUCCCCUUUGUAACCUUCUCUGUGAACUUCAGCUCUGCAUCUCCAGUCCAAGUACGAUCUGCCUCUCAGUCUCUCUUUCUUUGUAUUGCUUCGAUCUGCAACUGAAAAAAAAAAAAUUGCUUCCAGGAGAUCUGAUGCAUUUUUCUUUCUGUUCAUACUCUUAAAUUUUUGGAACCCACCAUCCUAAUGUAUUAGAGUUCCAAUCUAGCUUUAUAUGCAACAGCCAUCAACUCACUCAAUUUGUUAGGGACACACGAACACUGAUUUGGUGAAAACACGCCUCCAAAAUAUAAGACUUGAUUUUGGGAUUUCCCUUCUAUUUAGUUUGCUGCAGUAAUAAAAUCAGAAAAUUAAAAAACAUGUUCAUUUCUGAACAAAAAAAAUCUCACAGUUAAUUUGAACUCCUUGAGUUCCCAGUUUCAUUCCUGGAAUUGGAGCCCUUCAGCCAUAUUAUUAUUUUUGUCUAGUCGCAGUUGUUCUUUUGUGCGGAUUAAUUACAAAUAGGUUGAAGAAAUUAAAAGAAAUAGCAGAAAUGGGUAUCAUUUUUAGAUAGAAUUAGUACCAGUAACCAUUUUAGGAUACGGAUUGCACAUCUGAAGUUCAAUUGAACAGGGAUAAGUUAGUCAUUUUCAUAUUUUGGUUCCGUUCUCUGUCCUGCGCACCAAACGCAGAACGGAACAACUCUCCAUUCUGUCCUGCACAUACCAAACGUAACAUGGGACCACUGUUCCGUUCCGUCCCGUUCCGUCCCGUUCCGUCCCGUCCUAUCCCGUCUGCGUACCAAACGCUACCUUAUGGCUUUCGUCAUGCUUUACUGUUGGCCAGCACAUGCCAUCCAGGUGUCAUAAGGAUAUCUUGGUUGUAGCGUAUCAUGCAGCUUUGGAAGUUGCAUCGCCAUGUUCGUCUCAUACUAGACUUUUUGAAAUGAAUAUGAAUGAGGCGAUAGAGACGAAUUUUGAGGCAUUCAAGUUAGCGAAGUUCUCAAACGAAGAAAUCACAAUGUAUGCAGAAAACGAAAAGAUUUACAUGGCAUAGCCUUCAGAAAAGUUCUUGAAAUCAUUGACAGACAAUAUCACCGCGCUUGAAGAGUUUGAUUGAAGAUUAGUGGUAAACCAAAUUAGAAUCCAUUGGUGUAGGUCUAGAGUUUGGUAAAUUAAAGUAGGAUUUGGAUUGUAAGACACUUAUUGCAAUUCAUGGUUUGCCAAUAUAUACUUUGUUGUUGCUGCUUCUAUCUGGCUUCUUAGAUGAGAUUUGUUUUUAAUUGAAAAUUACUGUGAGUGAUUUUUGAUGAAACUAUUCAUCAACCGAUAACAGCUAUAUACUAAUAUUUUAAUAUUGUUUUAUGGAGGUUGAAUUGUGCAAACUGAUAAUUUUGGUUUUUAUACACUUGAUAUCUGAGAACAUUCUCAAAUUCUUUUUAAAAAAUUGAAUUUUAAACUUUUUAGUUUAUCUAUGAAUUGUAUGCAAUGUCAAGUGAAUUAUACAGUGUUGGCCCUUUAAUUUGAAUUUAUUUGUUCAGAUUUUAAGAGCAAAAUUACAGUCGGCAGAAAAUUUUUAAUAAAGUUUUAGAAUAUACCAUUUCUUCACUUCCGUAUACUGUUUGUAAAUAGGAGGAAAUCUUUUUUUCCAAUAUAUGGAACAUUGGCUGCAGUUAGUGGAUCUCUAUUUCUCAUUUUGGAAAUCCAUUGUAUCUCAUUUUGGUUUCUGUUGAUAGUGAAAUUGGAUUUACUCUCAUCUCAAUUAUGGAAUGUACGUUAUUGGAAAAUUUUAGAGGUUAGAAAAGAAUUUAGAAUCCGUUGAUGCACAAAACUAGAAGUCUUGGAACAACGUAAAUCCGACCGUGAAUCUGCAAGAAAUGUAAAUAACACAAGAUGUAUCGUGGUUCACCCCAAGGUUUGGGCUAUGUUCACACUGAUUAUGUAUUUAUCUGAGAGAAAGAGAGCUCUGAGAGUGAGAGCUUUGAGAGGGUGAGGAGCCUUAGGAAUUGGUCUCUCCCAAUUGUGAGGGUGAGGGAUCCUUUUAUAGAAUAAAGACUCCUCAUUUAUUACAUAUUUGUCCAUUCCUUUAUUACAUAAUUACAUUUAAGUCCUCCAAGUAUUUAUACGAGGUCUAAAUAUGAGGCUCUAAAUAUGGUAUAAACAGAAUCAAUUAGAAAACAAUUCACAAACUUCAUUUGGUGUAAAGUGAAUCAUUAUAGUUAAGGAGACUCGACCAAAAUCCUUACCUCUCAUUCCUUUUAUUUAAUCCCUUCACACACUUAUAUAAUCAUUUUUUUUCUCUAGAAUAUUUUUUAUAAUAUUUUUUUUUAGUAAUAGUAGUAGUCGUGUAAUGUCGGUUUCCUUAAGCUUUUGAUCCAACCCAUGUAGCGAGCUUUAGGUCAAUGACUCCCAAACCACUAGGGAUUCAGGGCACUAGGUGUAGAACACCCCUAAGGACUUAUUAACUCGAGCUGAAAAGGCUACGAAACCAACUAAUCAUCUUGCCCCAUGCCAAAACUCUACCGUUUGAAGCGAGAAUCAUUGCUAAUUAGCAGGACUGACCCGGUUACUAAGCAAAGUCUCGGGUGGAACAAUUAUUACUUUAUAACACAUACUAACUUUAUUUUCUAUAUAACAAAAAUUAAAAUGCAUUUAGACAAAAAGUAAGUACUUCAAUCUCACUUCCCGAUGUUGGUGUAAAUGUGCAAAUUUCAAAGUAUAAUUCAUGAAUUAAUGUCUAAGCAAUAAUAAAUAGAAAAGACUUUAAUAUGAGAUAAUCUUCAACAAUGUUCAUUUGUUCUAACGUUUCAAAUAAUUUAUGAAUAUUAACUAAGAAAAAUGAAAAAUUUUAACUGACACAAACAUUGAAGUCCUAACACUUAACUUUCCCACCUCCAAACUUAUAUCACACAUUAUCCUGAGGUGUGGAAAAUAAAAUAAAGAAAAAGAAAUUGACAAAAGAAAAUAAACUAGAUAAAAACAACCUAAACUCAAAUAAAUAAACUACACUAAAGAAAAACAUGAAACGAAAACGAAAAAAAACUAAAAGAAACGGAACUAACAGAAAAACAAAAUAAUUUAGAAAAAAAAAACAAAAUAAAGAAAGAGAUAACCUGGGGUUUCGAACUCAGGAGGAUGAUGGACAAAAGGUGCUGGGCUUCUCACGGGCUGAAUGAUGAGCCAAUAUUGAUGGCAGCUAUAAAGAAAGCCUUGGAAGAAUUUGAUCUGGGCCGCGAGAAACAAACAGGCAGACAUAAGGCAGCCCACUUAUCAGCUCACACACAAGCCACACGCGUGCACAAGAAACCCUAGCCGCCUUAAUCCAACAUUGGAUGCUCUUUAUGCACUUGCCUCGAGCCCAGAGCCUCUCUGUCCCCCCAUUUUCAAAAUAGUCCUUUCAUCUUCAGACACGGAAUGCACGCGAUUUAGACACGUGGCAUGGAUCCGUGCAAUUAACUCCUUAGGGUUCCCAUAACACAUGCAUCUUAUCCGCCCGUUUUCAUUUCCGCCACUCUCCCUCUCUAGAAAAUCCGAAAAGAGCUCCCGGUUCCCCAAUCUCAAGCCGAGCGCCCAUUUGUACAACCAUCCAUUUCAUAGCAACUAAAUCCAAGCUCUGCAUCCGUGUCUCUCUAACCCAUCCAUGAUGGAGCGAGCUGAAAAACUGCGUUUUUGUCCGUAUGAGGUUCCCCGAACAUGCAAAUCGGAGGAAAACAACAAGAUAAACCCUCCCGAUUUGCCAGCUCCGAGAGCGCAGAGGUCAUCAAGCUUCCCCCAAACUUGCAAUCACAGAUCCGGCCUACACCUCAGGUAAACAAAAAUUGACCCUCAUUUCCUUUAAUCUUCUAAUGUACAACACAAUCUGCCACAAUGCAUGUGUUGGAUCCGUUGAUUUCGUAAUACACACCCCACGGAUUUAAACCGAGCUCAAAGCGGAGAGUUGGUUUUGUAGGAAAAAAAAAAUUCAUAUUUGUGGUCUGCAUGAGACAAAGGAAAGGAUGUCCUCUCGGAGAUACAAAGGAAAGGAUGUCCUCUCGGAGAUCACAGAUCUGAGCAAACAUAAGGUAUAAAACACUUAUAAUUUCAAGCAUGUGUACUGAUCUGCAAAACAUAGCUGUCUUUAUCUGUAUUUGCUCAUAGCAUGUUUUUUUCUGUGCAGGACACACGGAUCCAUUGUACAGCCGAGAGAUAGGAAAUAUUGAAUGUUCGUAAUCUUGUAGUCGGCAGUAUCAAUAUUUUUCGCCCUGAUUUUAUCAGAAAACGGUAAGUACAAAUAUUCUAGUGCAUCACUUGCACCCGAUCCAUCAUUGUAAAUAGUAGUAUAAUGCAACUCCCUAGCACCGCGUCUAAUCCCAACUAUUGGACAUUUACAACUAGUCUUUUUUGCAUUCUUUUUCAUGGUUGAAAUCAGUGACAUAAUAAAAAAUAUGGCUGCUUAGAACUCCAUCUUCUAUAUACCAUAAAUAUGUUGAAAAUGCAAACUUGUCAUGAUUUUGGUUUACAAAGUCAGUUCCACUAUCAGCAAGUGCUUCCAUUGAUGCAUUAUUUGUUUCCUUAGACUUUAAAUUCUUAAUUAAAUUUUCUGUUGCUCCAAAGUCACCGCACACCAAACCAACCAUAGGUGGUUUUUUCGAGAAUUGUUUGAAUUUUAAGGUCAUCGCCUAUUACUGAAGAAAAAAAAAUACAAAAUGCAUAUCUACAGACAUUGAAAAUAAAAAAGAAUAGUGGAUUAAUCGAAAAUAAUCCACUAUUGUUUUUAAUUUUUUGUGUCUUUAAAUGUGUAUUUUGUAUAUUUUUUCUUCUUCUGUAAUAUGCGAUAAUCUUAAAAUUUAAAUUAUUCUUGAAAACCAACUAUUGUUGGUUUGGUGUGCGAUGACUUUGGAGGAACGGAGAAUUUAGUUGAGAAUUUAAAGUUUAAGGCAACAAAUAAUGCAUCAAUGGAAGCACUUGCUGACAGUGGAACUGUCUUUGUAAACCAAGAUGCAGGGAUGCAUUUUCAACAUAUAUAUGCUACAUAGAAGAUGGAUUUCCAAGCGGCUACAUUCUUUAUUAUGUUCUUGUUUUGAACCAUGCCAAAUAACGUAAAGAAGAUUAUAGUUGUAAGUGUUCAAUAGUUGGGAUUAGAUACGGUUCUCGGGAGUUGCAUUAUGCUGCUGUUUACAAUGAUGGAUCAGGUGGAAGUGAUGCACACGAUCAUUUGUAUUUACUGUUUUCUGAUGGAAUGAGGGAGAAAAAUGUUAAAUACUGCCAACGAUAAGGAACAUUAAAAGAAAAUCGAAGAUGAAUUCAGAAGGAUCACCCGCUUUUCUAUGUUGUUGUGGACCCACGUAUUUCUUGGAAUAAUUAAGCUAGGUAGCCCUGUUGUCGUCGUGGAUGUGUGUAUUUUGGUUGUUGGGUGUUUGAUUUGGUUGUCCUUUGCAUGCACUCGCCUAGGAAUAUCACAUCUGUGUAGUGCCUAUUAAUUUGGAUCAAUGAUUUGAUUGGCUUGUACUAGUGUUGGUCCUUGGAUUUCUCAAAUUUGGACAGAUCUUUGUGCUCAUUUGGUUGACUUAGUUUCUCCAGACCAGAAUACUCUUACUCAUCCUCGAGUUUGAGUGAUCAAUGAGUGUAGCUUUCCUUGAUCAGCAAGUCUAGGUUUUGACUUUAGCAGGUUUUUAGAAUUGGCAAAAGUUGUGAGUUUUAUGCUGAACGUGCUUGAGAUCAAUGGGAGGAAGCGUAGCUCUGUCAGCUCAUCGCAGUUGGUUUUGUUUGAAUUUUUUAUUAAACAUAGGCUUUCGAUAUCUGAGAGUUUUGGGGGAGAACAACAGCACAACCAAAGUAUUUCUGUCACUUUCCCUUUGUAUCUUAUCUAUCUUUGGCCAUGGAUACUUGUGUUGGUAAUCAUAAAUCACAGAACUAUAAACAAGUAUCUUUUGUCAUGUGAAUUAUAUUUUAUUGUAUGUGAUCUUACUUUUUUUGUAUGUACUAUUCUAUUUAGUCACACAAUUAAACUAAUAACAAAAUUAAAAAAAAUAAAUAAAUAGUUACAGAAUCAUACUGCAG
rnacentral:lncRNA from 1 species